rnacentral:misc_RNA from 1 species
GUGAUAUUAACAUCUGGGCAAGAACCAGAAAUCUACAGGUUUAUAUGUAAUGUAUGCACUAUAUAUACAAAGUUUAAAGAAAAGGCAAAAUUACAACUUUGAAACAGUUGAGGAUAAACCAGCUAAACCCAUAAGCCUGCUUUUUCAUACAAAGUUUAGUUCUUGUUUGAAGGAAAAAUAUGGUUUUAAGUUGGGGAUUAUUGAUACCUGCUGGUGCUAUUAGAAAUAGUAGUAUUCUGUGGACUUUGUCUUCUCUUUUCUCUCCAACUCUCUCCCCACUUCCUGGCCUCUGCUACUGCGCAAUCUCGAUCUAAAUCCUUCCCUAUAGUCACUGCAGCUACACUAGGAGGGAAAUCAAUCUCAGGACAUUUCUUCUUGGAUUUCCUAUGGGACACCAAGUAAUCCAUGGCAUUCACCAACUCACUUGAUGAAGGUCGUCUAUUGGCAUUCUCAUUCAGGCAUGUUGAUGCUACCUCUAUAGCCUUGUUAAACACAGAUAUUGAGAACUGACCUCUCAGCAAUGGAUCUGCUAAUUUUAAGUAGUUUCCACCGUCUUUCAUCAAGGGAAGUGCCCAAUGAAUCAGAUGUAUUUUGCGACCAUCAAAUUCGUCCACUGCUCUACGUCCUGUAAUUAGCUCUAACAAGACUACCCCAAAGCUGUAAAUGUCAGUCUUCAUUGUCAAUCUUCCAGUUGAGGCAUACUCAGGAGCACAGUAACCAUAUGUGCCCAUCACCCUGGUGGAGACAUGAGAUGUAUCCCCCAUUGGACCAAACUUUGCAAGUCCAAAAUCUGAGAGUUUUGUCUGGAAUCCCUCAUCCAAUAAUAUGUUUGAUGCCUUUAAGUCCCUGUAUAUAACAGGAGGAUUCGCGUUGUGCAGAUAGUCCAAUCCCUUGGCUGCCCCAGCAGCUAUUUGCAUCCUUGUGUUCCAGUCAAGAGGCUCCAUAUCAGGCGUAACAUCAAAAAGGUGAUCUUCCAAGGAUCCCAUGGACAAGUAUUCAUAGACAAGAAGGCGUUGUUGUCCUUCCGCACAGAAUCCAAUCAAGUUGACAAGGUUAGGGUGAUGCAGUAGAGUAAGCAUGAGAACUUCAACCAGGAACUCCUUUUCUCCUUGGAUACCUGAUAGAUCUAGCUGCUUAACUGCUACAACCUAUUAUUUACCAUAUCAGAUGGGGCUUAAUCCAUCAAUUAACGUGAAAAUUGCAACGACAAAGACCAUGAAAUAUUCAGAGAGGACAUAAGAAAGAAAAAAGUCUCUAUUUGAAGAAGAAUGAACCCUUUUACCUGACUAGUGCUUUCCAAUUUCCCUUUAUAAACAGCACCAAAACCACCGCUGCCAAGAAAUGAAUCUGGGUGAAAAUUAUUUGUUGCAAUUGCAAGUUCUUCAUAGGUGAAUGUGGGAGCCAAAUUAGAAGGUUUAUCCCUAUGUCCUGGAGCUGAUGGUUCUUGCCUACAAUCCGCAUUAACUUUUGAUCUUGACCCUGACUUUGAACCACUCCCUGAUGCUGCUGCUGCUGACCCUGAUCUUGAUUCAUAAGAUGGUUCUUUAUUGCUAAUGUUGUUCUUGAGCUUCUUCCUAUUAAAAAAACCAAAACAGGGGCAAUGACCCAUUUCCAGAAACAAGGGAAAUCGAUGAUAGAGAAAGAGAAUAUGAAUAUCUAUAAGGGAAAAGAAAAGAAAAGAAAAAAGUCAAACAAUUUUUGAGCUCAAACACACGCAUUAGUAGGAUAAUCUGUUUCCCAUUCUCAUUAAAUAACUCAGCAUUGCAAUACACCAAAGAGAUGAGCAUAUAAGAGAUGGGAAAGCAGAACAAAUAAUGAGCACAUAGAAUCAAAUACAAGUUGCUGAUAUCUGAAAAGACAAAUCAAGAAAAUAACAUCCCAGACAGAUACAUACAUAUUACUUCCUUGCUUCAAGAUU